ACUCGCCUUAUCUUUCUCUCUUUUCCUCUCUGAGCUCAAGGACUGCUAUCUGAGACUCCCAAACCUGAGCUCAAGGACUGCUAUCUGAGACUCCCAAACCAAACCUGCUACAUGGGUCCCCCGCCGCAUCGAUUUUGCUGCGGAACUUUUCGUCCCGUCGUGUUGCUUCCGCUCCGAUUCGUUGCCUUUUCUUGUAAUCAUUCGAGCUUGAAAUGACCAGAGAUGGAGUCUACCAGCGGUGGAUUCUCCCCUAAGAAGUUGCGGGCGAUGCUGCUUGGAGUGGAGAAGAGGAGGAAGGAAGAGGAGGAGCUCGAAUCGAAGACUUCUUUGAGAUCCGAACCCUCUGAGUUCGAUGACGGGAGGGCCAGUGCGGCGGAUAGCUGCAAGGAUGUAGAGUGCUCCACCUCGUCGGAGAUGGCGAGCGGCCACAGAUCGAGAGAUCACGCGAUGGGGUUUCCGAGGGUUAAGUCACAAGAAGAGGACUCUUUCGAAGCGGAGAAUGUGUCAUCUGGCUUCGAGUUCCAGAAGGCGGAGCGAACGCCGCCGCACCGGUUGACGGCUGCAGCAGCGUUCGUGCCGCCGUUCUCGAAGCCGGCACCGUCGAAAUGGGACGAUGCACAGAAGUGGAUUGCGAGCCCCACAUCGAACCGAGGUGGGAGUAAGGCCGGUGGAGGGCAGGCGAGGAGGGGAGGUUUGGCGGGAUACGUCAGCCGACAGGCUGCGGCGAAGGUUGUUUUGAAUGUCGUAGAGGAAGCAGACACUAAGAGGGUGGACGGGAGCCAAGCGAAGAAGGAAAUCAGUGGGAUUAAGAGCGUGAAUUGGGUUGGAGAGCCUCAUCCUCGUUUGGAUUUAGGGGUGAAGCCUACGGUUGUGGUGGAGAAUCCUGUGGUUGAUUCUGCUGUGAAUCUUAGUUGGCAUGAUUCAUCCACAUCUAUUCAGAGUGCAACUGCAUUUAUGACACCCGCACCAACUGUUAGGUCUGUAUCCAUGAGAGAUAUGGGCACAGAAAUGACUCCUAUUGCAAGUCAGGAGCCUUCUCGCACAGGAACUCCCGCGGGAGCAACUUCACCACUUUACAGCCCAACUUCUUCCCGGCCAGCAACUCCACAAAGAAGAGCUCCAGUUUCAACCCAGACUGACUCAGCUGACUGCCAUGACGAUUUGAACGAUAAGGAGAUGUCCGAAAAGGAGCUACAAAGGAAAACUAGGAGGGAAAUAAUGGUGCUAGGCCAAAAAUUGGGCAAGACAAACAUAGCUGCAUGGGCCAGCAAGGAAGAAGAUACUGAUGCAUCAAUUUCAACUAUGACUGUGUCGAAGGAUCAGCCAGACAAAAGUGUCAUCGAAGUGCGUGCAGCAGCCUGGGAAGAAGCAGAAAAGACCAAGUAUCUUGCUAGGUUUAAACGAGAAGAGAUCAAGAUCCAAGCAUGGGAAAAUCAUCAAAAAGCUACGAUUGAAGCUGAAAUGAGGAAGAUUGAGGUAGAGGUGGAAAGAAUGAGGGCCUGUGCACAUGAGAAGUUAAUGAACCAGCUAGCAGCUGUAAGACACAAGGCUGAAGAUAAACGUGCUGCGGCCGAAGUCACAAGGAAUCAGCAAGCUUCCAAAACUGCUCAGCAAGCAGAGUACAUCAGAAGAACAGGUCGAAUUCCUUCUUCAUUUUCCUGCUGGAGUUGGUGCUCCUAGUGCACCUCAGUUUGAAGGAACAAUCCAAGUUUAGUGUGACAAGAAGAAGUUUUCUCGGCUCGACAAUGCUGUAGUCUCAGAUAUGCCCGUAUCUUUAUAGAAUAUGAUGUGAAUGGAGAAUGAGUAGGCAAUGACCCCAUUAAAGAAACCAAGAGUGGAAUGUCUUCUUCAUGGAUAUCAUCACAGCAAUCUCUUCUGGGUGGUGUUAUCGAACUGUCGAAAGUUCUACUGACACGGGGGAAGCAGGUCACAUCUUCCUGUCCUCUCUGGUCUGUCAUACAGUGGAGGUGCAGUGUCGUCACAACGAAGAGCUUAUUUUGUCGUUCAAGCCAUUCUCAUUCCAACAUAUAUACCUCUGUCAUCCAAUCUGCAGCUUUUAGACACUUAAAGAUAAUUGAGAAUUAAUAAGAUGAUUAAUUCAGGAAGAAGGAUUCUGAUGUGUUGAUACAAAGUAACAUAAUAACAUUCUAUUACCAGUCAAAUAAAACUGUGUCCUUAGGUUAAAUUCCAAGGAUACUUCU